rnacentral:misc_RNA from 1 species
GAUGAAGAACGUAGCGAAAUGCGAUAAGUAAUGUGAAUUGCAGAAUUCAGUGAAUCAUCGAAUCUUUGAACGCACAUUGCGCCCCCUGGUAUUCCGGGGGGCAUGCCUGUCAGAGCGUCAUUACAACCCUCAAGCUCAGCUUGGUGUUGGGCCCCGCCGCCCCGGCGGGCCCUAAAGUCAGUGGCGGUGCCGUCCGGCUCCGAGCGUAGUAAUUCUUCUCGCUCUGGAGGUCCGGUCGUGUGCUCGCCAGCAACCCCCAAUUUUUUUCAGGUUGACCUCGGAUCAGGUAGGGAUACCCGCUGAACUUAAGCAUAUCAAUAAGCGGAGGA